UGCGUAGGCGGUUACGUAAGUCUGGUGUGAAAUCUCCCGGCUCAACUGGGAGGGUGCGCCGGAAACUGCGGAGCUUGAGCACGGGAGAGGAAGGCGGAAUUCCUGGUGUAGCGGUGAAAUGCAUAGAUAUCAGGAGGAACACCGGUGGUGUAGACGGCUUUCUGGACCGUUGCUGACGCUGAGGCACGAAAGCGUGGGGAGCAAACA
rnacentral:rRNA from 1 species